UUACAAUUUUAUACAUCGUUACUAUAUUUUUUAUCCUAGUUGUCUCUGGUUCAGCUCAUAUGAUUUUUUUUUCGUUUUUUAUGAUUUAGAUAUAUGACAUUUGGCAAUCUUUUACUGAACAAAACAAAGUCGGGAACAAUGGAUGGAUUAAUGGAUAUGUAAAAGCCAUAAGGAGAACAGAACUAAAAUUAAAAUAUGAAAGAAUAUGCAAUAAACAUUGUAUAAAAGUGGAAAGCCAGCCACUUUAAAAAGAUAUUCCAAACUAAAACAUGGGUUACCAAAGCAGGCAAUAAAAAGAAAGGGUGAUCUAGAAUGCAAGAGAAGAGCUGAUGAAAGAAGUAAAUGUAAAGAAAAUAAUGAAGAGACUUCUCUCGACCAUGCCCCCCUAAACGAACUCCCCUGUGUUAAGAGCCAAUAAUAUAUGGUAGAAGUACAUCUGCAGGGUACCACGUUUCUCCCCAUAUGAUAAUCUGACGCGCUCGAGUAACUGCAAAAAUCCCCGCUUGGGCUCCCCUACCAUAAUGAAAGGGUAACAAAUCAAUUGGAAGUUCUUUUGGACAAAAUACAUGUGACGUUUUCGUGGUCUGACCGUUCCAAAUUUUUAACCUGUUCCACAAUUAAAAUUUCCAGUGUUCCCAUAUAUCAAAGUUUGUCCGACUAGACACCCUUAACCUAUUAACAAAUUUUCAGCUUGCUAUUAAUCAAUUUUUUUUCAUACGCGGGAUCCU